rnacentral:rRNA from 1 species
AUUGAACGCUGGCAGCAUGCCUUACACAUGCAAGUCGAACGGCAGCACGGGAGCAAUCCUGGUGGCGAGUGGCGAACGGGUGAGUAAUAUAUCGGAACGUGCCCAGUCGUGGGGGAUAACGUAGCGAAAGCUACGCUAAUACCGCAUACGAUCUAUGGAUGAAAGCGGGGGAUCGCAAGACCUCGCGCGAUUGGAGCGGCCGAUAUCAGAUUAGGUAGUUGGUGAGGUAAAGGCUCCCCAAGCCGACGAUCUGUAGCUGGUCUGAGAGGACGACCAGCCACACUGGGACUGAGACACGGCCCAGACUCCUACGGGAGGCAGCAGUGGGGAAUUUUGGACAAUGGGCGCAAGCCUGAUCCAGCAAUGCCGCGUGCAGGAUGAAGGCCUUCGGGUUGUAAACUGCUUUUGUACGGAACGAAACGGCGAGCUCUAAUACAGUUUGCUAAUGACGGUACCGUAAGAAUAAGCACCGGCUAACUACGUGCCAGCAGCCGCCGUAAAAC